rnacentral:rRNA from 1 species
GGUCAAGUGAAGAAGCGCAUACGGUGGAUGCCUUGGCAGUCAGAGGCGAUGAAAGACGUGGUAGCCUGCGAAAAGCUUCGGGGAGUCGGCAAACAGACUUUGAUCCGGAGAUGUCUGAAUGGGGGAACCCAGCCAUCAUAAGAUGGUUAUCUUGUACUGAAUACAUAGGUGCAAGAGGCGAACCAGGGGAACUGAAACAUCUAAGUACCCUGAGGAAAAGAAAUCAACCGAGAUUCCCUUAGUAGUGGCGAGCGAACGGGGACUAGCCCUUAAGUGGCUUUGAGAUUAGCGGAACGCUCUGGAAAGUGCGGCCAUAGUGGGUGAUAGCCCUGUACGCGAAAAUCUCUUAGUCAUGAAAUCGAGUAGGACGGAGCACGAGAAACUUUGUCUGAAUAUGGGGGGACCAUCCUCCAAGGCUAAAUACUACUGACUGACCGAUAGUGAACUAGUACCGUGAGGGAAAGGCGAAAAGAACCCCGGAGAGGGGAGUGAAAUAGAUCCUGAAACCGUAUGCGUACAAGCAGUGGGAGCCCACUUUGUUGGGUGACUGCGUACCUUUUGUAUAAUGGGUCAGCGACUUAUUUUCAGUGGCGAGCUUAACCGAAUAGGGGAGGCGUAGCGAAAGCGAGUCUUAAUAGGGCGUCUAGUCGCUGGGAAUAGACCCGAAACCGGGCGAUCUAUCCAUGGGCAGGUUGAAGGUUGGGUAACACUAACUGGAGGACCGAACCGACUACCGUUGAAAAGUUAGCGGAUGACCUGUGGAUCGGAGUGAAAGGCUAAUCAAGCUCGGAGAUAGCUGGUUCUCCUCGAAAGCUAUUUAGGUAGCGCCUCAUGUAUCACUGUAGGGGGUAGAGCACUGUUUCGGCUAGGGGGUCAUCCCGACUUACCAAACCGAUGCAAACUCCGAAUACCUACAAGUGCCGAGCAUGGGAGACACACGGCGGGUGCUAACGUCCGUCGUGAAAAGGGAAACAACCCAGACCGUCAGCUAAGGUCCCAAAGUUAUGGUUAAGUGGGAAACGAUGUGGGAAGGCUUAGACAGCUAGGAGGUUGGCUUAGAAGCAGCCACCCUUUAAAGAAAGCGUAAUAGCUCACUAGUCGAGUCGGCCUGCGCGGAAGAUGUAACGGGGCUCAAACCAUACACCGAAGCUACGGGUAUCACGUAAGUGAUGCGGUAGAGGAGCGUUCUGUAAGCCUGUGAAGGUGAGUUGAGAAGCUUGCUGGAGGUAUCAGAAGUGCGAAUGCUGACAUGAGUAACGACAAUGGGUGUGAAAAACACCCACGCCGAAAGACCAAGGUUUCCUGCGCAACGUUAAUCGACGCAGGGUUAGUCGGUCCCUAAGGCGAGGCUGAAAAGCGUAGUCGAUGGAAAACAGGUUAAUAUUCCUGUACUUCUGGUUAUUGCGAUGGAGGGACGGAGAAGGCUAGGCCAGCUUGGCGUUGGUUGUCCAAGUUUAAGGUGGUAGGCUGAGAUCUUAGGUAAAUCCGGGAUCUUAAGGCCGAGAGCUGAUGACGAGUUAUCUUUUAGAUGACGAAGUGGUUGAUGCCAUGCUUCCAAGAAAAGCUUCUAAGCUUCAGGUAACCAGGAACCGUACCCCAAACCGACACAGGUGGUUGGGUAGAGAAUACCAAGGCGCUUGAGAGAACUCGGGUGAAGGAACUAGGCAAAAUGGCACCGUAACUUCGGGAGAAGGUGCGCCGGUGAGGGUGAAGGACUUGCUCCGUAAGCUCAUGCCGGUCGAAGAUACCAGGCCGCUGCGACUGUUUAUUAAAAACACAGCACUCUGCAAACACGAAAGUGGACGUAUAGGGUGUGACGCCUGCCCGGUGCCGGAAGGUUAAUUGAUGGGGUUAGCUAACGCGAAGCUCUUGAUCGAAGCCCCGGUAAACGGCGGCCGUAACUAUAACGGUCCUAAGGUAGCGAAAUUCCUUGUCGGGUAAGUUCCGACCUGCACGAAUGGCGUAACGAUGGCGGCGCUGUCUCCACCCGAGACUCAGUGAAAUUGAAAUCGCUGUGAAGAUGCAGUGUAUCCGCGGCUAGACGGAAAGACCCCGUGAACCUUUACUAUAGCUUUGCACUGGACUUUGAAUUUGCUUGUGUAGGAUAGGUGGGAGGCUUUGAAGCGUGGACGCCAGUUCGCGUGGAGCCAUCCUUGAAAUACCACCCUGGCAACUUUGAGGUUCUAACUCAGGUCCGUUAUCCGGAUCGAGGACAGUGUAUGGUGGGUAGUUUGACUGGGGCGGUCUCCUCCUAAAGAGUAACGGAGGAGUACGAAGGUGCGCUCAGACCGGUCGGAAAUCGGUCGUAGAGUAUAAAGGCAAAAGCGCGCUUGACUGCGAGACAGACACGUCGAGCAGGUACGAAAGUAGGUCUUAGUGAUCCGGUGGUUCUGUAUGGAAGGGCCAUCGCUCAACGGAUAAAAGGUACUCCGGGGAUAACAGGCUGAUACCGCCCAAGAGUUCAUAUCGACGGCGGUGUUUGGCACCUCGAUGUCGGCUCAUCACAUCCUGGGGCUGAAGCCGGUCCCAAGGGUAUGGCUGUUCGCCAUUUAAAGUGGUACGCGAGCUGGGUUUAGAACGUCGUGAGACAGUUCGGUCCCUAUCUGCCGUGGACGUUUGAGAUUUGAGAGGGGCUGCUCCUAGUACGAGAGGACCGGAGUGGACGAACCUCUGGUGUUCCGGUUGUCACGCCAGUGGCAUUGCCGGGUAGCUAUGUUCGGAAUAGAUAACCGCUGAAAGCAUCUAAGCGGGAAACUAGCCUCAAGAUGAGAUCUCACUGGAACCUUGAGUUCCCUGAAGGGCCGUCGAAGACUACGACGUUGAUAGGUUGGGUGUGUAAGCGCUGUGAGGCGUUGAGCUAACCAAUACUAAUUGCCCGUGAGGCUUGACCAU